UACGUAGGGGGCAAGCGUUGUCCGGAAUCACUGGGCGUAAAGGGCGCGUAGGCGGGAUGGCAAGUCGGUCGUGAAAUCCUUCGGCUCAACCGAAGAACGUCGGCCGAUACUGCCGUUCUUGAGGGAUGCAGAGGAGAUUGGAAUUCCCGGUGUAGCGGUGAAAUGUGUAGAGAUCGGGAGGAACACCGGUGGCGAAGGCGGGUCUCUGGGCAUCUCCUGACGCUGAGGCGCGAAAGCGUGGGGAGCAAACGGG
rnacentral:rRNA from 1 species